rnacentral:rRNA from 1 species
AACGAACGCUGGCGGCAUGCCUAACACAUGCAAGUCGAACGAGAUCUUCGGAUCUAGUGGCGCACGGGUGCGUAACGCGUGGGAAUCUGCCCUUGGGUUCGGAAUAACAGUGAGAAAUUACUGCUAAUACCGGAUGAUGUCUUCGGACCAAAGAUUUAUUGCCCAGGGAUGAGCCCGCGUAGGAUUAGCUAGUUGGUGGGGUAAUGGCCUACCAAGGCGACGAUCCUUAGCUGGUCUGAGAGGAUGAUCAGCCACACUGGGACUGAGACACGGCCCAGACUCCUACGGGAGGCAGCAGUGGGGAAUAUUGGACAAUGGGCGAAAGCCUGAUCCAGCAAUGCCGCGUGAGUGAUGAAGGCCUUAGGGUUGUAAAGCUCUUUUACCAGGGAUGAUAAUGACAGUACCUGGAGAAUAAGCUCCGGCUAACUCCGUGCCAGCAGCCGCCGUAA